AUUGAACGCUGGCGGCAGGCCUAACACAUGCAAGUCGAGCGGAUGAAGGGAGCUUGCUCCUGGAUCCAGCGGCGGACGGGUGAGUAAUGCCUAGGAAUCUGCCUGGCAGUGGGGGAUAACGUCCGGAAACGGGCGCUAAUACCGCAUACGUCCUGAGGGAGAAAGUGGGGGAUCUUCGGACCUCACGCUAUCAGAUGAGCCUAGGUCGGAUUAGCUAGUUGGUGGGGUAAAGGCCUACCAAGGCGACGAUCCGUAACUGGUCUGAGAGGAUGAUCAGUCACACUGGAACUGAGACACGGUCCAGACUCCUACGGGAGGCAGCAGUGGGGAAUAUUGGACAAUGGGCGAAAGCCUGAUCCAGCCAUGCCGCGUGUGUGAAGAAGGUCUUCGGAUUGUAAAGCACUUUAAGUUGGGAGGAAGGGCAGUAAGUUAAUACCUUGCUGUUUUGACGUUACCAACAGAAUAAGCACCGGCUAACUUCGUG
rnacentral:rRNA from 1 species